UGCAGUCGAGCGGAGAUGAGGUGCUUGCACCUUAUCUUAGCGGCGGACGGGUGAGUAAUGCUUAGGAAUCUGCCUAUUAGUGGGGGACAACAUUCCGAAAGGAAUGCUAAUACCGCAUACGCCCUACGGGGGAAAGCAGGGGAUCUUCGGACCUUGCGCUAAUAGAUGAGCCUAAGUCGGAUUAGCUAGUUGGUGGGGUAAAGGCCUACCAAGGCGACGAUCUGUAGCGGGUCUGAGAGGAUGAUCCGCCACACUGGGACUGAGACACGGCCCAGACUCCUACGGGAGGCAGCAGUGGGGAAUAUUGGACAAUGGGCGGAAGCCUGAUCCAGCCAUGCCGCGUGUGUGAAGAAGGCCUUUUGGUUGUAAAGCACUUUAAGCGAGGAGGAGGCUACUUAGAUUAAUACUCUAGGAUAGUGGACGUUACUCGCAGAAUAAGCACCGGCUAACUCUGUGCCAGCAGCCGCGGUAAUACAGAGGGUGCGAGCGUUAAUCGGAUUUACUGGGCGUAAAGCGUGCGUAGGCGGCUGAUUAAGUCGGAUGUGAAAUCCCUGAGCUUAACUUAGGAAUUGCAUUCGAUACUGGUCAGCUAGAGUAUGGGAGAGGAUGGUAGAAUUCCAGGUGUAGCGGUGAAAUGCGUAGAGAUCUGGAGGAAUACCGAUGGCGAAAGCAGCCAUCUGGCCUAAUACUGACGCUGAGGUACGAAAGCAUGGGGAGCAAACAGGAUUAG
rnacentral:rRNA from 1 species